AUACGGAGGGUGCAAGCGUUGUUCGGAAUUAUUGGGCGUAAAGCGCGCGUAGGCGGCUUGGCAAGUCGGAUGUGAAAGCCCGGGGCUCAACCCCGGAAUUGCAUUCGAAACUGCCUGGCUAGAGUCUCGGAGAGGAGGGCGGAAUUCCCGGUGUAGAGGUGAAAUUCGUAGAUAUCGGGAGGAACACCAGUGGCGAAGGCGGCCCUCUGGACGAUGACUGACGCUGAGGUGCGAAAGCGUGGGGAGCAAACAGGAUUAGAAACCCUAGUAGUCC
rnacentral:rRNA from 1 species